CUCUCUCCUCUCCUCUCCCCUCCCAUGCGCCACACCCUUGUCCUUACCGCUGCCAUCGCCUGUCGCCGCUUUGCCGUCGCCCGUUGCCGCUGCCGUCGCCCGUUGCCGUCGCCCGUUGCUGUCUUGGUAAUUUUCUAUGCAAUUUAACUGCAAGAUUACUUUCCUCUUCUCCCUCAAAACGCAGAUAAGCCUACCGUUUCUUGAAUCCCUUCCUCCACCAAGACCCAUCGAAAACCACCUCCUCCCUCGACCUCUGCCCCUUCAAUCACCAGAGCCACAACCCCACAGAAUAUCGCCUCUCCCUUAACCGCUUUCUUCAAGUUCAACAUCCAGGUCUCCCAUCUUCUUCUUCACCACACCCUGCUCCUUCUCCCAUCGUUUUCAUCUCCAUCGAUUUCUCAUAGACUCGUCUCCUCUCUCCGUUGGCUUAUCCUCCGAAACCCACUCCAUUGUCCUCCCCUUCAUUGUUGUUACAGCUCCUCCGCUUCUCCAUCAAUAUUCCACCAUUUCCUCAUCAUCUCCCCAAAAAUUAGAAAACCCACCUGCAUUCACCGAUUCUGGUUGUUCCGUGAAAGCACAGACGAAGCACCCAGCGGCGUAGCAGAACCGGCAAAGCAAUCGGAGGCCAUGUAUUAGAACCAGCAAAGCACAGACAACCUUUCACCAAGUCUUUCCAGUGCCACUCCGCACCCAACCGCGUCAUCGCCCUCACUGACCCUUUGCUCCCUCUGCUCAGCCUCAAAACUUUGCUUCGGCGUGGACUGGAGACUCAAGAUUUGAGACUCAUGACCGAGUGAGGUACACAAGAGACCAGCUGGUGCAACUCAGAGAGAUGAGCCGGUACAGAUGCAAGAGGAAACACUGGAGCACACUCCAACGGAUGAUUCAACAAAUUCAUAGAUUAGUUUUUAGUUUUAUGAACAUUGUUAAGUAUUAUUGAUUUAUUUUAAAUUUUAUGACGAUUGUUAUGUAU